rnacentral:hammerhead_ribozyme from 1 species
AUCUAGCUGACGAGGCUGCUCUACCUGCUCCUUCAAAAAAGAAAUAGGACGAAACGUGCGUCCUGGAU